rnacentral:tRNA from 1 species
ACUUAGGUAGUUUAUAUAAAAUUUUGAUUUGUGGUGUCAGUGAAGCAUUAAUUUGUCUUAAGUA